rnacentral:rRNA from 1 species
CAGUCGCCACGGUAACACGUAGGUGGCAAGCGUUGUCCGGAAUUAUUGGGCGUAAAGGGCUCGCAGGCGGUUUCUUAAGUCUGAUGUGAAAGCCCCCGGCUCAACCGGGGAGGGUCAUUGGAAACUGGGAAACUUGAGUGCAGAAGAGGAGAGUGGAAUUCCACGUGUAGCGGUGAAAUGCGUAGAGAUGUGGAGGAACACCAGUGGCGAAGGCGACUCUCUGGUCUGUAACUGACGCUGAGGAGCGAAAGCGUGGGGAGCGAACAGGAUUAGAUACCCCUGUAGUCCCUGUCUCUUAUAC